rnacentral:rRNA from 1 species
CCUACGGGUGGCAGCAGUGGGGGAUAUUGCACAAUGGGGGAAACCCUGAUGCAGCGACGUCGCGUGGGUGAAGAAGCGCCUCGGCGCGUAAAGCCCUGUCAGCAGGGAAGAAAAUGACGGUACCUGAAGAAGAAGCCCCGGCUAACUACGUGCCAGCAGCCGCGGUAAUACGUAGGGGGCAAGCGUUAUCCGGAUUUACUGGGUGUAAAGGGGGCGCAGACGGCGAUGCAAGCCAGGAGUGAAAGCCCGGGGCCCAACCCCGGGACUGCUCUUGGUACUGCGUGGCGAGAGUGCAGGAUGGGCAGGCGGAAUUCCUGGUGUAGCGGUGAAAUGCGUAGAUAUCAGGAGGAACACCGGUGGCGAAGGCGGCCUGCUGGACUGCAACUGACGUUGAGGCCCGAAAGCGUGGGGAGCAAACAGGAUUAGAUACCCCUGUAGUC